UUUAGCAAUAGCAAUGGACCGUCUUCAGAAGAUGUUAAGCAAACUGAUCUACGUCCCGUCUUUAAGUUGAGAGAGGAGGGGAUUUGACAACGCGCAGAACGAAUUCCGCGGAAUCAGAUGCCAGCCGAAGGGCAUCAGAAAUUUCGAUGCAAUGCAAGUUGUUGUUCUCAAUUCUUUCCACUAAAAUCGGAUGAUAUGUACGGCAUCCUUGGAGACAUUGAGGCGUGAAAGACCAUAUCCGGGGGAGAAAUUCACCUUCAUUUUCCUCUUCAGUGUCCUUGGAAAUUAUAGAGAUAGGAUUGCUGCAGCCUGCUGGGCAAGCAAAGGAAGAACAUUCAGUACAGAUAAUAAGGAAACCAAGGGACAAUAGCAGUGAAAAAGAUAGGAGCAUCACAUGUUAAGAGUUAUGUCACUUACAAGCAUCUAUGAACUACGUGUUUUACUUCCUCCUGCAACAAUUCCAAGUAGUAUUAGACUAUUAGGUGAUGAUUGUUGAAGUUUGUUAUACAAUGCACGAAAGAGUUCGAA
rnacentral:lncRNA from 1 species